rnacentral:rRNA from 1 species
CCCUUAGAUGUUCUGGGCCGCACGCGCGCUACACUGUUCGACGCAGCGAGUCUUAACCUUGACCGAAAGGUUUGGGUAAUCUUCAGCAAAGUCGAACGUGAUGGGGAUCGAUCAUCGCAAUUAUUGAUCGUGAACGAGGAAUUCCUAGUAAGUGCAAGUCAUCAGCUUGCGCUGAUUACGUCCCUGCCCUUUGUACACACCGCCCGUCGCUACUACCGAUUGAAUGGUUUAGUGAGAUCUCUGGAUUGACGCUGGCUAGGGGGCGACCCUUGGCCAGACUGCUCGAGAAACUGCUCAAACUUGAUCAUUUAGAGGAAGUAAAAGUCGUAACA